UCCCUGGAAGACUAGUGGUUAGGCCACAGCAUGCUCACUGCUGCGGCACAGGUUCGAUUCCCAGCCAGGGAG
rnacentral:tRNA from 1 species